rnacentral:rRNA from 1 species
AAUCAACGCUGGCGGCGUGCCUAACACAUGCAAGUCGAACGCGAAAGCCCCUUCGGGGGUAAGUAGAGUGGCGUCCGGGUGAGUAACACGUAGGUAAUCUACCUCUGGGUGGGGAAUAACUCGCCGAAAGGCGAGCUAAUACCGCAUAAUGCAGCGGCACCUAAUGGUGAAUGGUUGUUAAAGCGGGGGACCUUCGGGCCUCGCGCCUAGAGAGGAGCCUGCGGCAGAUUAGCUAGUGGUGAGGUAAUGGCUCACCAAGGCUUCGAUCUGUAGCUGGUCUGAGAGGACGGCCAGCCACACUGGCACUGACACACGGGCCAGACUCCUACGGGAGGCAGCAGUGGGGGAAUUUUUGGGCAAUGGGCGCAAGCCUGACCCAGCAACGCCGCGUGA